rnacentral:rRNA from 1 species
CCUACGGGAGGCAGCAGUGGGGAAUAUUGGGCAAUGGGCGCAAGCCUGACCCAGCAAUGCCGCGUGAAGGAAGAAGGCUUUCGGGUUGUAAACUUCUUUGACAGGGGAAGAGCAGAAGACGGUACCCUGAAAACAAGCCACGGCUAACUACGUGCCAGCAGCCGCGGUAAUACGUAGGUGGCAAGGGUUGUCCGGAUUUACUGGGUGUAAAGGGCGUGUGGCGGGGAAGGCAAGUCAGAUGUGAAAUCUGGAGGCUCAACCUCCAAAUUGCAUUUGAAACUGUUUUUCUUGAGUACUGGAGAGGCAGACGGAAUUCCUUGUGUAGCGGUGAAAUGCGUAGAUAUAAGGAGGAACACCAGUGGCGAGGGCGGUCUGCUGGACAGCAACUGACGGUGAGGCGCGAAAGCGUGGGGAGCAAACAGGAUUAGAUACCCCUGUAGUC